AUUGAACGCUGGCGGCAGGCUUAACACAUGCAAGUCGAACGGUAGCACAGGAAGAGUUGCUCCUUGGGGGAGGCGCGUGGCGGGCGUGUGAAAUGUAUGGGAAAAUGUAUGUUGGCGGGGGGGAAAAAGUGGAAACGGUAACUCAAAUAGCGCAUAGUCGCUACGGCAGAGAGGAGGAGAUCUUCGGCCCUUGCCCGAAUGAAUGCGCAGAUGGCAUUAGCUAGUUGGUGGGGUAAUGGCUCACCCAGGCGCCGAUCCCUAGCUGGUCUGAGAGGAUGACCAGCCACACUGGAACUGAGACACGGUCCAGACUCCUACGGGAGGCAGCAGUGGGGAAUAUUGCACAAUGGGCGCAAGCCUGAUGCAGCCAUGCCGCGUGUGUGAAGAAGGCCUUCGGGUUGUAAAGCACUUUUGUUGAGGAGGAAAGGCGGGAGCUUAAUACGCUGAUGUUUUGACGGUACUCGAAGAAUAAGCACCGGCUAACUCCGUG
rnacentral:rRNA from 1 species